rnacentral:misc_RNA from 1 species
AGCAGCCGCGGUAAUUCCAGCUCCAAUAGCGUAUAUUAAAGUUGUUGCAGUUAAAAAGCUCGUAGUUGAAUUUCGGGGUUAGUAGGUUGGUCAUGCCUCUGGUAUGUACUGGUCUCACUGAUUCCUCCUUCCUGAUGAGCCGUAAUGCCAUUAAUUUGGUGUUGCGGGGAAUUUGGACUGUUACUUUGAAAAAUUAGAGUGUUUAAAGCAAGCUAACGCUUGAAUACAUUAGCAUGGAAUAAUGAAAUAGGACGUUCGAUCCUAUUUUGUUGGUUUCUAGGAUUGACGUAAUGAUUAAUAGGGAUAGUUGGGGGCAUUAGUAUUCAAUUGUCAGAGGUGAAAUUCUUGGAUUUAUUGAAGACUAACUACUGCGAAAGCAUUUGCCAAGGAUGUUUUCAUUUAAUCAAGAACGAAAGUUAGGGGAUCGAAGACGAUCAGAUACCGUCGUAGUCUUAACCAUAAACUAUGCCGACUAGGGAUCGGAUGAUGUUAAUUUUUUAAUGACUCAUUCGGCGCCUUA